ACAUCUCUCCCUUUUCUCUCACACCCGAUCAACUCCACUCAGAUUUUUCCAAUCAGUCUAAACCUAACCCCCAAAAUUUUCAUCUCCCACUCAAUCCUAUCGCUUCUUGCUUCCGUCUCCGCCGUCAUCUCUAUCGCUUCCAUCUCCGACGUCAUCUCUAUCGCUUCUUGCUUCCGUCUCCGCCGUCAUCUCUAUCGCUUCCAUCUCCGACGUCAUCUCUAUCGCUUCCAUCUCCGUCGAGUUCAGUUUCCGCUGUCAUUCUACUCCAUCGAUCUCCACCGUUUUACUCCUCCGACGUCUCCUCCAUCACGGAUCUGAACUUUUAACGAACACUUCCUGUAUCAGCCGCCACUUUGUCUCCUCCGGCAACGAGGUUCUUCUCAUAGGUAAUCAACAUCAAACCCUUCAGCAAUUAAUGGUGACUAUAAAGUAUACUCAAAUUGCUAAGAUUUUAGGAGCUGUAAAACCAUUUGAGAGUUGGUUCUUGAUAACAACCAUGAACCAUUUUAUGUGUUCUAAUGUGGAGAGCAGAAUAUUGAAUAGCUUCAUCAUGAUGCAGAAACAGGGGAAGUGUGAUUUCUUACCGAGGGAUAAUCAUAUUUACUCUUUAAAUCUAUAAACAGCAUCGUAAUGAAGGAGAUGUUAGUGAGGGGUGUUGGUUGACUUGAUUUCUUGGACUCAAAAUCUGACGGAUUGAAGACGGUGGUGAAAGGGUGACUGUUCGAUGUAGAAAAUCAGUAUGUGGGUUGCGAAUGUUGUGUUCAUUAUUUUCUCAAAGGAUUUACAUGAUGUUGUGUUAUUGCCUCCUUUGUUGGUUGCUGAUUUUGGUAAUGAUAUCAAUCACUAUGCAACAUUGAUUGAUCCAUGUAACAAUCAAUUUGAUGUUGCGGUUGAAAAAGGAAAAGGUAGUAUAUAUGCUAAACCUAAGGAUUGUUCGCUUUGCGUGAUUUCUAUGAUAUCCGUUUCGGUGCUUGGAUCACUAUGGUAUAUGUUGGGUUGGGUCAGUUUGGAAUAACCAUCUGUCAACUCCCAUUUUUUAUUAUAACUUUUAUAGACAAACUUACUUAUUAUUUCUAUUUUUUCUUGAUUGAUAGAAGUUGGUCUACAAUGGUUUUUGUGAAUCUGCACUGGAUAAAAGGACCACGGCUUUGGUUUUGAUAGACGAUUGUGGCAACAAGUGGAACUGCACUCUUUUUUUAGGAUCUAUAUCGUACUGUCACAGGAAAAUUGCUGGUGAGUGGAAAAAGAUGAUAGCUGCGCACAGAAUUUGUGAAGUUGCACAAAUCAAGUCGGGUGCUCUGAUGGUUGGCAAAAAUGAAAUUGUUUACCUUGAAUUCAUCCCAAUUUUAUGUCUCUGCAUGCUACUGUUUUGUGUGCAGGUGACUUUUCAAGGUGAAUCUAUUGCAUUGUUCUUCCCUUUUUUGUUUUUAUUUUAUUUUCUUAUACCUUUUGUUCUUCUUAAAUUUUGUCACUACCUAUUAAUUUUAUAUUUAUGGAAUCAGUGGAAAAUUUAUUUACUUUACUUUCAUUCAUCUUAUAUUUUAGGAUGACUUGAAAUAUACGUAUGUGGUUAUGUACUUCAACUCAAUUGCCUUUCUUAGGGUCUUAUGCAAUUUACACUCAUCACCAAAUUUAUCAAUUAUGUAUAUUGACUAUGAAUUCAAAAAAAUGAAAUAAAUGGAGCACUUGAUUUAUUUAUCAUUGUUAUUGAAAGCAAUACAAUAACUAUAAAAUAGUGUCAUAACAGAGAGUGAAGUAGUAUAUAGUAGUGAUUUUAAAAUUAGUAUUGAAAAGUAUAGCAUUGCAUUUAGAAAGUUGUAUUCUUAUGUGUAAUAUUAAAAAGUAAAGUUGUUUUUAUAGGUAAAAUAUAUGAUCUGAAUAUUUAGCUUAUGAAUAUUGUUUUGGCAGAAAUGAUUUCAUUUUUUUCAAAGUUGGUUGUGCCGGCACUAUCUAGGACUAUGUGAAGUAAACAUGAAGAAUAGAGCAAAUACAAGAAGAAUUUCUUUCGGAAAAUUUGUCCUACUGUAUAGAACUUCCUAAUUAUUAAUUUCAGCAUUAAGAGCUCUCCUUAUAAUGAUUUAUUGUUGUCAGUCUCCUUACCUAAUGUUUUUAUUGUUGUAGGCUUAUUAAUUUACAUAUCCAGCAGGUGCUAACAACUUCAAAUAGGCACCAUGGUUGUUAGUAUAAUUAAAGGAUGGAUUUAAGGUGUUUCAAGCUUGGAGAAAUACUUUUCUUAGGAGUAGUGGUUUAUGAUGAUUGACUGUGGAGUAACUUUGAGAGUAGAAUUAGGAACUGAGCAGACAAAAAAAACCAUCAUUAAAGUUAGAAGUCCAUAAUUUGUCUCUCAAAGUUACGAUUUUUCUAACACAGUCAAACUAUAUAUCAAAAGUAAAACUUUCCAGGCUCACAGGCAGAACGGAAAGUAGAAGAUAAAAAACCAAAGCAUCAUGACAACAAUAGUGCCUAUUUGAUCUUUUGUUAGCAACCAUGCUUUAUGCAAAGGUGCAGGGCACAUGUAAAAGUGACGUUGCAUAAAAAUGACAAUGAGAAACAGUUCAACAAGCCUUUGAUAUCAUGAGUGAAAAAUGCGGUUGAAGUUUGAUCAAAGUUCCAAGAGUGUGGCAGCAGAUUUUGUCCUAAGAGAUAGAUUGUAUUAGUGAUAAUGUUUGGCAAUUGACAAGUGGUAUUAGAAACUCAAGAAAUGAGCUGAUAGAAGUAGUCAAGGAUUGUGUGUAGUGCUGCUAAAUUUGAGAGUUUGUAUGGCUAAAAUAUGUAAUUUAUACAUUGAGAAUAAGAAACAGAAAAAUUGUACUUGAUAUAAAUAAAUUUAGUGAGGCUCGAUCGUUUUUCUUUA